CUACAAGAGACAAGUCAAAAUACGUUCUAGUUUCUUAGCUUAAGCAUAGUUAAAUAGAUGGCACCCCUCCAUACUAAGUUUUCAGAUCCACAUGGAUCUGGGUUGAACUUUGAACUAUUAAAAUACUGGAAAGCAGUCCUAUGGGAGAGAUCAUUCCUACAAGCCAGGAGAAUGUAACUCCUUUGACUAGCAUGACAGUGGCCUGCUUUCAUCUUCAAGUUAUAUUUAAGCCUAAGGUAGGGAGGAUGUGACUAAGGCAAUGCAAGAUGUCCCAUUUCUUAAUGGCAUUUUGUAGGACAGAGAGUGCAGUGCCAGGCUGCAGUUACCUUUGGAAUGAUAAUUCUGCUAACUGGGAUUUGGAGCUUAUACGUCGCUUGGACAAAGUGCCACCUACUGUCCAUUUGAAGUCAUCGGGAGGCUUUUGACGAGGACCAAAGAGAACUAAAGAAAGGGGUAAAAGGAAAGGACAAAAUUAAGCCCCCGCCUUGGGCCCUUGGAAGAAAGACGCGAAUAGACCAUCACGAAGCAAAAAUAAGUAUUCUGACUUGUUAUCUUCUUAAAAGUCUCUCAAGAAGCAAAAGCCACUUACGCAGCUUCCUUAGACACGGCCUUUUUUUUUUUUUUUUUUUUUUUUUUAAAGCGCGCUGUUCUGGAGUUCUCUAGAGGACGAUUUUUAUUUUGUUAUAUUUUAUUUAUAAUGCUCGUUGCUGGCGUAUUUUAAUGUUAGGGGAUCAGGUUAAGGAAAAAACAAUUAUUUUUCUGCUCUUUCGCCUACCCAAGGCGAAACUUCUAUGUAAAGGAGAAUUUUGACACUUGACAUCAGCUCAGAAACUUUUGAGUUGGAGGGAAGAAAGGGUUAACCAGUGGUAGACCAGUCACAGAUUUUUUAGAGUUUCAGCCGGCUUUCGGAGGCUCCAGGUGUACACAUACACACACACACACCCCAGCUCUCCCUUCCCAGGGCCGUUACUUAGCCUAAGGGCACCAUUUGGUCUUAAAGCAAAUUACUUAAACAGAACUGGCAGUGCAUCGAGAAG
ensembl:lncRNA